rnacentral:rRNA from 1 species
UGCUGGAGGUAUCAGAAGUGCGAAUGCUGACAUAAGUAACGAUAAAGCGGGUGAAAAGCCCGCUCGCCGGAAGACCAAGGGUUCCUGUCCAACGUUAAUCGGGGCAGGGUGAGUCGACCCCUAAGGCGAGGCCGAAAGGCGUAGUCGAUGGGAAACAGGUUAAUAUUCCUGUACUUGGUGUUACUGCGAAGGGGGGACGGAGAAGGCUAUGUCAGCCGGGCGACGGUUGUCCCGGUUUAAGCAUGUAGGCGGAGGUUCCAGGUAAAUCCGGUACCUUAUUAACGCUGAGGUGUGAUGACGAGGCACUACGGUGCUGAAGUGAUAAAUGCCCUGCUUCCAGGAAAAGCCUCUAAGCAUCAGGUAACACGAAAUCGUACCCCAAACCGACACAGGUGGUCAGGUAGAGAAUACCAAGGCGCUUGAGAGAACUCGGGUGAAGGAACUAGGCAAAAUGGUGCCGUAACUUCGGGAGAAGGCACGCUGAUGUGUAGGUGAAGCCCCUGCGGG